GUUUAUGAGGAGAUUCAGCACAGACACAAUCACUUCACUCAGAGGGGGAGUCUCAUCUCUGAAGAACUGCAUUCUGGGUAUGGAGAUGCUGAUGAGCUGCUCUCAGCAAACAAAUUCAAGACUGCAUAUUAUGAUGAUGUCACCAAUGGCAGUGGCCUAAAAGUUGUGUGACCUUUUUAAUUGAUCACAUGAUUCAUUACCAAAUGUUUAUGAUGUCUCAUGAUCUGCAACAACAACAUAUU